rnacentral:piRNA from 1 species
UGAUGGUUCGCUCUGGGUGUUAGCAG